AUUGACUUUAGGAUAUAUGAACCAGUUUUCCAAAACCACUAUUGUGUUAUACAGUUUUAAACAGUUUUUAUGUACAGAGGAAGAGGACUCGAACCUGCUCUCAGAAUCUCUCUCAGACUGAGGAGCGGGCAGACCAACUUCCCAAAUAGGGGAGAAGCACUCAAAACACACUAGUUGUUCUUUCAAAGAAAAUAAUACAAAAAUGGUAAGUCUGAAGACCUCUCGUAUUACCAACCUUACUACAAUGGCAGCAAAUAUUUGUAUGAAUUCAGUAACACAUAAUGAAAGGAAACUUUGUUUACAUCACCCCUUUUAAUGAGGUGAAUGGUUUUACCCACUACUCUCCCGGAACUGAGGCUUUGCGAUCUACUGUUUCACUUUGUUACGCCUUUAGUGAGCAAAACAGCUAAUAACUUAGCUAAAUACUGACAUUAUCCUCAAUCGAGAUAUCUGUCCGUCGUUUCAGCUCCAACUGAACUUAAAGGUGCAUUUCAGACACACAUCUUCGUGGCCAUUCAGGAUGUAGUGUACUCAGACUGUCUAGCUCUAGCUAAUAACACAGCAUAGUAGGCUAUUGGUUGACAGACAGCCGCUAAUCAGAUCACAUCACCGCCAGAUAAUUAACUAAAGAUGCUGAAAAUGGAGGGACUCGGGCCGAAGAUGGACCCGGAAGAGAUGAAGAUGUGGUGUCUUCGGUCAGGAACUUUCUCCUCCAUGUCGCCCUGCUCCGAGUCACACAAUAUGUUCUCAGAAGCUGGACAGCAUAUGAAUAGAAUCCAUCUUCUCUCACCCUCUACCCUCAAGACCUACAUCACACAAGAUGCUUCAGAACAACAACAACUGUAACGAAUGUCGCCGGGAUAAGGAGAAGAGGACCAAGGUGCAGCGUGAUCUCCAGGCUCAAAGCGUCAGUCCACCAGGUAGGUAGAGUAUAAAUCUACAGUGAUUAUAGCAGUUCAAUAUUAGUCAACUUUAUUAUACCACAUGAAGAAAGUCAUGUGUUCAUACAAAC